UACGAGAGGCCCAACCGUUAUUCGGAAUUACUGGGCUUAAAGAGUUCGUAGGCGGCAUGAAAAGUAGGGUGUGAAAGCCCUCGGCUCAACCGAGGAAUUGCGCUCUAAACUGUCGUGCUCGAGGAAUCUAGAGGUGAGCGGAACUGAUGGUGGAGCGGUGAAAUGCGUUGAUAUCAUCAGGAACACCGGAGGCGAAGGCGGCUCACUGGGGAUUUUCUGACGCUGAGGAACGGAAGCCAGGGGAGCGAACGGG
rnacentral:rRNA from 1 species